CUGCGAAGCCUCUUUCCAGAGAGCAGCAGGGAGAACAGUCCAUGUCUGAGGUACGGCACCCUCCACACCACACAAUGGGACAACUGGUAGACAUGCACUCUAUGGUUCUUCUGUAGAAGGUUGUGAGGAAGGUGGGACCAGAUUCCUGCUGGAUUCUGUCUGUUGACCGAAGAUGGAUCUUCUUCCCGACACCAACCUGGAUAUCCCUUCAGUACCUCUUCGGAUCUCUG